AGUGAACGCUGGCGGUAGGCCUAACACAUGCAAGUCGAACGGCAGCACAGUAAGAGCUUGCUCUUACGGGUGGCGAGUGGCGGACGGGUGAGGAAUACAUCGGAAUCUACUUUUUCGUGGGGGAUAACGUAGGGAAACUUACGCUAAUACCGCAUACGACCUACGGGUGAAAGCAGGGGAUCUUCGGACCUUGCGCGAUUGAAUGAGCCGAUGUCGGAUUAGCUAGUUGGCGGGGUAAAGGCCCACCAAGGCGACGAUCCGUGGCUGGUCUGAGAGGAUGAUCAGCCACAUUGGAACUGAGACACGGUCCAGACUCCUACGGGAGGCAGCAGUGGGGAAUAUUGGACAAUGGGCGCAAGCCUGAUCCAGCCAUACCGCGUGGGUGAAGAAGGCCUUCGGGUUGUAAAGCCCUUUUGUUGGGAAAGAAAAGCAGCAGGUUAAUACCCCGCUGUUCUGACGGUACCCAAAGAAUAAGCACCGGCUAACUUCGUG
rnacentral:rRNA from 1 species